AUUUAUUUCUGUAGCACCACAGCAACAUUAGUUGGAAUUGGAAUUUUGAAAGGGUACGUGAGCACUUUGAUAUAAUGUGGACCAAUUUUUAAUUACGAGCCACCGGAAUUAUGCUAUUGGUCGUCCCGUUGGAUUUUUGUUUUAAUUGUUUAUUCGACGCAUGUGAUGUGAGCAUAGAGAUAGCCUAUUUGAUAUAAUAUUUUAAGUACAUUAUUUCAUAUACCGUUUCAUUGAUUUUUUUGAAAUUACUCUGAACCAAUCUGUUUGCCUUAUAUCAAUCCAUUUUCGGAAAAUCGCCACUCCUUCCAAACUGAGGACCAUACAACGUUAUACCAACGGAUCCGAUAAGCUGCGUUAUCUACACUUGGUUAUUUUAAAAUUAAUUAACGUUUUAAUGAGUUUGCGAAAUAUGGAUGCGAAACAGAUCCUCAUUUUCAUUUUCUUCAG